rnacentral:rRNA from 1 species
AGUGAACGCUGGCGGCGUGCCUAAUACAUGCAAGUCGAACGAUGAAGCUCUAGCUUGCUAGAGUGGAUUAGUGGCGCACGGGUGAGUAAUGCAUAGAUAACAUGCCCUUUAGUCUAGGAUAGCCAUUGGAAACGAUGAUUAAUACUGGAUACUCCUUACGAGGGAAAGUUUUUCGCUAAAGGAUUGGUCUAUGUCCUAUCAGCUUGUUGGUGAGGUAAUGGCUCACCAAGGCUAUGACGGGUAUCCGGCCUGAGAGGGUGAACGGACACACUGGAACUGAGACACGGUCCAGACUCCUACGGGAGGCAGCAGUAGGGAAUAUUGCUCAAUGGGGGAAACCCUGAAGCAGCAACGCCGCGUGGAGGAUGAAGGUUUUCGGAUUGUAAACUCCUUUUGUUAGAGAAGAUAAUGACGGUAUCUAACGAAUAAGCACCGGCUAACUCCGUGCCAGCAGCCGCGGUAAUACGGAGGGUGCAAGCGUUACUCGGAAUCACUGGGCGUAAAGAGCGCGUAGGCGGGAUAGCAAGUCAGAUGUGAAAUCCUAUGGCUUAACCAUAGAACUGCAUUUGAAACUGUUAUUCUAGAGUAUGGGAGAGGUAGGUGGAAUUCUUGGUGUAGGGGUAAAAUCCGUAGAGAUCAAGAGGAAUACUCAUUGCGAAGGCGACCUGCUAGAACAUAACUGACGCUGAUGCGCGAAAGCGUGGGGAGCAAACAGGAUUAGAUACCCUGGUAGUCCACGCCCUAAACGAUGAAUGAUAGUUGUUGUGGAGCUUGUCUCUGCAGUAAUGCAGCUAACGCAUUAAGCAUUCCGCCUGGGGAGUACGGUCGCAAGAUUAAAACUCAAAGGAAUAGACGGGGACCCGCACAAGCGGUGGAGCAUGUGGUUUAAUUCGAAGAUACACGAAGAACCUUACCUAGGCUUGACAUUGAUAGAAUCCGCUAGAGAUAGUGGAGUGCUAGCUUGCUAGAACUUGAAAACAGGUGCUGCACGGCUGUCGUCAGCUCGUGUCGUGAGAUGUUGGGUUAAGUCCCGCAACGAGCGCAACCCUCGUCCUUAGUUGCUAACUAUUCGGUAGAGCACUCUAAGGAGACUGCCUUCGCAAGGAGGAGGAAGGUGAGGAUGACGUCAAGUCAUCAUGGCCCUUACGCCUAGGGCUACACACGUGCUACAAUGGGAAGCACAAAGAGAUGCAAUAUUGUGAAAUGGAGCAAAUCUAUAAAACUUCUCUCAGUUCGGAUUGUAGUCUGCAACUCGACUACAUGAAGCUGGAAUCGAUAGUAAUCGUAAAUCAGCUAUGUUACGGUGAA